CCUACGGGUGGCUGCAGUGGGGAAUAUUGGACAAUGGGGGGAACCCUGAUCCAGCCAUGCCGCGUGUGUGAAGAAGGCCCUCGGGUUGUAAAGCACUUUCAGUGAGGAAGAACGCCUGGUGGUUAAUACCCAUCAGGAAAGACAUCACUCACAGAAGAAGCACCGGCUAACUCCGUGCCAGCAGCCGCGGUAAUACGGAGGGUGCGAGCGUUAAUCGGAAUUACUGGGCGUAAAGCGCGCGUAGGUGGCUUGAUAAGCCGGUUGUGAAAGCCCGGGGCUCAACCUGGGAACGGCAUCCGGAACUGUCAAGCUAGAGUGCAGGAGAGGAAGGUAGAAUUCCCGGUGUAGCGGUGAAAUGCGUAGAGAUCGGGAGGAAUACCAGUGGCGAAGGCGGCCUUCUGGACUGACACUGACACUGAGGUGCGAAAGCGUGGGUAGCAAACAGGAUUAGAUACCCCGGUAGUC
rnacentral:rRNA from 1 species